CUUGGUCAUUUAGAGGAAGUAAAAGUCGUAACAAGGUUUCCGUAGGUGAACCUGCGGAAGGAUCAUUAGUGAAUUAAACAUGCUUGGUGUCUUCGCUUCGGCAAGGCCCUUGCUUAAAUCACAUCCUAACACCUGUGAACUGUAAGACGUAUGAUGAGGUCUUUGGCCAAGUCAUCGUCUGCCCUUUUUUAACAAACAAUUAAUGUAACAAACGUAGUCUUAUUAUAACCUAAUAAAACUUUCAACAACGGAUCUCUUGGCUCUCGCAUCGAUGAAGAACGCAGCGAAAUGCGAUAAGUAAUGUGAAUCGCAGAAUUCAGUGAAUCAUCGAAUCUUUGAACGCACCUUGCGCUCUUUGGUAUUCCGAAGAGCAUGCCUGUUUGAGUGUCAUGAAAAUAUCAACCUUGACUUGGGUUUUGUGCUCUAGUCUUGGCUUGGAAUUGGGUGCUUGCCGCUUUUACGAGCGGCUCACCUUAAAUGUAUUAGCUGGAUCUGUCUUAGAGACUUGGUUUGACUUGGCGUAAUAAGUAUUUCGCUAAGGACAUUCUUCGGAGUGGCCUCGUUUCUAGGACGCUUGUCCGCUUCCCAAUACAAGUUCCACCUCGUGGACAUGACUUUUUUAUUAUCUGGCCUCAAAUCAGGUAGGACUACCCGCUGAACUUAAGCAUAUCAAUAAGCGGAGGA
rnacentral:rRNA from 1 species